rnacentral:rRNA from 1 species
UUUAAAGAGAGUUUGAUCCUGGCUCAGGACGAACGCUGGCGGCGUGCCUAAUACAUGCAAGUCGAACGAACGGAGGAAGAGCUUGCUCUUCCAAAGUUAGUGGCGGACGGGUGAGUAACACGUGGGCAACCUGCCUGUAAGUUGGGGAUAACUCCGGGAAACCGGGGCUAAUACCGAAUGAUAAAA